GGACAGGAGGGCCGUACAGCCAUGGCAUCUUUCACUCCCUUAAUUGCCAGGGUUGAUUUGGCUACUCUGGCUGCCUAGAUCGCCUCUCUUGCUCACGGAUCCAUGCAGGUCCCUCCCCAGACUGAAGAGUAUGACCUUCCCUGGAUAAAGGAGAGUACCAUUCUUCAAGCGUGUACAGGAGCUCCUCUGCAAAAACCUCCAAAUAUGUACUCAAGAUAUAUUUGUGGCCAGGUGGCAAUGUAGCACACACCUGUAAUCUCAGCUACUUUGGAGGUUGAGGCAGGAGGAUCGUAAGUUUGAGGCCAGUCUCUUAGUGAGAACCUCUCUCAAAAU
ensembl:misc_RNA 7SK 7SK RNA